AUUGAACGCUGGCGGAAUGCUUUACACAUGCAAGUCGAACGGUAGAGGGGGCAACCCCUCGAGAGUGGCGAACGGGUGAGUAAUAUAUCGGAACGUGCCCAGUCGUGGGGGAUAACGUAGCGAAAGUUACGCUAAUACCGCAUACGAUCUAAGGAUGAAAGCGGGGGAUCGCAAGAACUCGCGCGAUUGGAGCGGCCGAUAUCAGAUUAGGUAGUUGGUGGGGUAAAGGCUCACCAAGCCAACGAUCUGUAGCUGGUCUGAGAGGACGACCAGCCACACUGGAACUGAGACACGGUCCAGACUCCUACGGGAGGCAGCAGUGGGGAAUUUUGGACAAUGGACGCAAGUCUGAUCCAGCCAUUCCGCGUGCAGGAUGAAGGCCCUCGGGUUGUGAACUGCUUUUGUACGGAACGAAAAGGUCUCUCUUAAUACGGGGGACUCAUGACGGUACCGUAAGAAUAAGCACCGGCUAACUACGUGCCAGCAGCCGCUGUAA
rnacentral:rRNA from 1 species